UUGACAUGGAUUUUAUUCAAUAGACAAGCUGACAUUUAUCAAGAUGCUUUCAAUUACACCAAAAGAAAUAGAAGUCUUCAUCUUAUUGCUGUUUAUGUGGCAGUAUCGUUCUCCUACAAUGAGUUGAUGGAAAUGAGAAUAAAAUGAUUUUACCAAUAACAUUGAGUGGCUAUACCUUUUCUUAAUAAUGGGAAAUUUUAUAAAUUUGGCUGCUUAAUGACAUGAUUUAGAAGUUUGCACUCUGCUCACUUUUGAUUUGACCUUGCAAUUACCAAGUUAAAUAAAAAUGACUUUUAUAAGGACAUGAAUCCAAUUGAAACUUCGCAAGAUUGGAAUCUUUUAAUUUUUGAAAGUUGUGUU
rnacentral:lncRNA from 1 species